rnacentral:rRNA from 1 species
GACGAACGCUGGCGGCGUGCUUAACACAUGCAAGUCGAACGCUGAAGCUCAGCUUUUGUUGGGUGGAUGAGUGGCGAACGGGUGAGUAACACGUGAGUAACCUGCCCCCUUCUUUGGGAUAACGCCCGGAAACGGGUGCUAAUACUGGAUAUUCACUGGUCUUCGCAUGGGGGUUGGUGGAAAGGGUUUUUCUGGUGGGGGAUGGGCUCGCGGCCUAUCAGCUUGUUGGUGGGGUGAUGGCCUACCAAGGCUUUGACGGGUAGCCGGCCUGAGAGGGUGACCGGUCACAUUGGGACUGAGAUACGGCCCAGACUCCUACGGGAGGCAGCAGUGGGGAAUAAUGCACAAUGGGCGAAAGCCUGAUGCAGCGACGCCGCGUGAGGGAUGGAGGCCUUCGGGUUGUGAACCUCUUUCGCUCAUGGUCAAGCCGCAACAAUGGUUGUGGUGAGGGUAGUGGGUAAAGAAGCGCCGGCUAACUACGUG